rnacentral:rRNA from 1 species
GAUGAACGCUGGCGGCGUGCCUAAUACAUGCAAGUCGAGCGAACAGACGAGAGUGCUUGCACUCUCUGACGUUAGCGGCGGACGGGUGAGUAACACGUGGGUAACCUACCUAUAAGACUGGGAUAACUUCGGGAAACCGGAGCUAAUACCGGAUAAUAUUUAGCUUCGCAUGAAGCAAUAGUGAAAGACGGUUCUGCUGUCACUUAUAGAUGGACCCGCGGUGUAUUAGCUAGUUGGUGAGGUAACGGCUCACCAAGGCAACGAUACAUAGCCGACCUGAGAGGGUGAUCGGCCACACUGGGACUGAGACACGGCCCAGACUCCUACGGGAGGCAGCAGUAGGGAAUCUUCCGCAAUGGACGAAAGUCUGACGGAGCAAUGCCGCGUGAGUGAAGAAGGUUUUCGGAUCGUAAAACUCUGUUGUAAGGGAAGAACAAGUACGUUAGUAACUGAACGUACCUUGACGGUACCUCACCAGAAAGCCACGGCUAACUACGUG